rnacentral:rRNA from 1 species
GAUGAACGCUGGCGGCGUGCCUAAUACAUGCAAGUAGAACGCUGAAGCUUGGUGCUUGCACCGAGCGGAUGAGUUGCGAACGGGUGAGUAACGCGUAGGUAACCUGCCUCUUAACGGGGGAUAACUAUUGGAAACGAUAGCUAAUACCGCAUAAAAGUCGAUAUCGCAUGAUAUUGAUUUGAAAGGUGCAAAUGCAUCACUAAGAGAUGGACCUGCGUUGUAUUAGCUAGUUGGUGAGGUAACGGCUCACCAAGGCGACGAUACAUAGCCGACCUGAGAGGGUGAUCGGCCACACUGGGACUGAGACACGGCCCAGACUCCUACGGGAGGCAGCAGUAGGGAAUCUUCGGCAAUGGGGGCAACCCUGACCGAGCAACGCCGCGUGAGUGAAGAAGGUUUUCGGAUCGUAAAGCUCUGUUGUAAGAGAAGAACGAGUGUGAGAGUGGAAAGU